AGUGAACGCUGGCGGCAGGCCUAACACAUGCAAGUCGAGCGGAUGAAGGGAGCUUGCUCCUGGAUUCAGCGGCGGACGGGUGAGUAAUGCCUAGGAAUCUGCCUGGUAGUGGGGGAUAACGUCCGGAAACGGGCGCUAAUACCGCAUACGUCCUGAUGGAGAAAGUGGGGGAUCUUCGGACCUCACGCUAUCAGAUGAGCCUAGGUCGGAUUAGCUAGUUGGUGGGGUAAAGGCCUACCAAGGCGACGAUCCGUAACUGGUCUGAGAGGAUGAUCAGUCACACUGGAACUGAGACACGGUCCAGACUCCUACGGGAGGCAGCAGUGGGGACUAUUGGACAAUGGGCGAAAGCCUGAUCCAGCCAUGCCGCGUGUGUGAAGAAGGUCUUCGGAUUGUAAAGCACUUUAAGUUGGGAGGAAGGGCAGUAAGUUAAUACCUUGCUGUUUUGACGUUACCAAAAGAAUAAGCACCGGCUAACUUCGUG
rnacentral:rRNA from 1 species